GACGAACGCUGGCGGCGUGCUUAACACAUGCAAGUCGAACGGAAAGGCCCUGCUUUUGUGGGGUGCUCGAGUGGCGAACGGGUGAGUAACACGUGAGUAACCUGCCCUUGACUUUGGGAUAACUUCAGGAAACUGGGGCUAAUACCGGAUAGGAGCUCCUGCUGCAUGGUGGGGGUUGGAAAGUGUCGGCGGUUGGGGAUGGACUCGCGGCUUAUCAGCUUGUUGGUGGGGUAGGGGUUUACCAAGGCUUUGACGGGUAGCCGGCCUGAGAGGGUGACCGGCCACAUUGGGACUGAGAUACGGCCCAGACUCCUACGGGAGGCAGCAGUGGGGAAUAUUGCACAAUGGGCGGAAGCCUGAUGCAGCAACGCCGCGUGCGGGAUGACGGCCUUCGGGUUGUAAACCGCUUUCGCCUGUGACGAAGCGUGAGUGACGGUAAUGGGUAAAGAAGCACCGGCUAACUACGUG
rnacentral:rRNA from 1 species